GACGGGGACCCGCACAAGCGGUGGAUGAUGUGGAUUAAUUCGAUGCAACGCGAACAACCUUACCUACCCUUGACAUGUCUGGAACCCUGCUGAGAGGUGGGGGUGCCCGAAAGGGAAUCGGAACACAGGUGCUGCAUGGCUGUCGUCAGCUCGUGUCGUGAGAUGUUGGGUUAAGUCCCGCAACGAGCGCAACCCUUGUCCCUAGUUGCUACGCAAGGGCACUCUAGGGAGACUGCCGGUGACAAACCGGAGGAAGGUGGGGAUGACGUCAAGUCCUCAUGGCCCUUAUGGGUAGGGCUUCACACGUCAUACAAUGGCCGGUACAGAGGGUUGCCAACCCGCGAGGGGGAGCCAAUCCCAGAAAGCCGGUCGUAGUCCGGAUUGCAGUCUGCAACUCGACUGCAUGAAGUCGGAAUCGCUAGUAAUCGCGGAUCAGCAUGUCGCGGUGAAUACGUUCCCGGGUCUUGUACACACCGCCCGUCACACCAUGGGAGUGGGGUGCACCAGAAGUAGGUAGGCUAACCGCGAGGGGGCCGCUUACCACGGUUUGCUUCAUGAC
rnacentral:rRNA from 1 species